UUCUGGCUCAGGAUGAACGCUGGCGGCGUGCCUAACACAUGCAAGUCGAGCGAUUCUCUUCGGAGAAGAGCGGCGGACGGGUGAGUAACGCGUGGGUAACCUGCCUCAUACACAUGGAUAACAUACCGAAAGGUAUGCUAAUACAGGAUAACAUAAGAGAUUCACAUGGAUUUCUUAUCAAAGCUCCGGCGGUAUGAGAUGGACCCGCGUCUGAUUAGCUAGUUGGUAAGGUAACGGCUUACCAAGGCGACGAUCAGUAGCCGACCUGAGAGGGUGAUCGGCCACAUUGGAACUGAGACACGGUCCAAACUCCUACGGGAGGCAGCAGUGGGGAAUAUUGCACAAUGGGCGAAAGCCUGAUGCAAGCAACGCCGCGUGAGUGAUGAAGGCCUUCGGGUCGUAAAACUCUGUCCUCAAGGAAGAUAAUGACGGUACUUGAGGAGGAAGCCCCGGCUAACUACGUGCCAGCAGCAGC
rnacentral:rRNA from 1 species